GAGUUCGGACUCGGAAGAAGAACAAUCGUCAUUCCGAGUGCCGAGCGAGUUCACUCUUCCUGUACGACGUGUAGUUCACUCGUGGUUCCUCUCCCUAUCGUCGUUUUGCCGUGUUGGUUUUGUUGAAUUCCGAUGGAAAUGUUCAAUUUUUCACUUCACGGCCUUGAUUGAGAAAUUCUUCAAUUACCGCCAUAGGCAAUUAUGAUCUUUGGUCGGUGAGGCAUUCCUCGUUUCUCGUAGCCGAGGAACGGUAAGGUAAGCAUUGCGUUUCUUCGUUUUGACGAUAUUGUUAGCCAACGCUCCUUCUCUUGUCGGGUUGAUCCUCGAUCUUUGUUUUGAUCUGAUGUCGUUUUAUGCAUAAAACAAUUUGCGAUUCUGGAUUUUCAGCUUCGAGCUGUUUACUGUGUAUAUAAUUUAGUAUAGGUUCUUGUUAUAGACAACAAUUGAAGGUCUGAGUCCUAACAGUGAAUUGGCUCUGAGAUUACACCACAGGAUAUAGAGCUAAGGCAUUCUGAUCAAAACUGAAAA